CCUACGGGAGGCAGCAGUAGGGAAUUUUCCACAAUGGGCGAAAGCCUGAUGGAGCAACGCCGCGUGCAGGAGGAAGGCCUUCGGGUUGUAAACUGCUUUUAUCUGUGAAGAUUAUGACAGUAGCAGAAGAAUAAGGAUCGGCUAAUUCCGUGCCAGCAGCCGCGGUAAU
rnacentral:rRNA from 1 species